rnacentral:tRNA from 8 species
GGGCCAUUAGCUCAGUUGGUUAGAGCAACCGGCUCAUAACCGGUUGGUCCGGGGUUCGAGUCCCUGAUGGCCCACCA